GAUGUGGAAGCGUAGUAAUACGUGAAGCUGACCGGUACUAAUAAGCCGAUGACUUGAUAAC
rnacentral:rRNA from 1 species